rnacentral:lncRNA from 1 species
UUGAAAGCUAGGGUUUCAGAGGAACCCAAACGGUGAGAAAGGCUUGGAGAGAUUUAAACAGGAUAAGUCGAGGUCAGGCUCGAAUAGCCAUGGCUUGCCGGAGCAAGGCCGGAGAUAGCCAUAAAACUUGAAUCAAACAAGGUAUGGAUGAAGCUUCUUCGUGGUCAGGCCAUGAAACUUCAGCAAUCCAGAGUGUAUGAACCAUGGAAGGCUGAUGGAUGGUGAGACCACCAUGGAUUCAGGCUAGGAGGUGGCCGAAGAAGGCGAGUGAAGCUCAUCGAAGCGGAGGAGAAGGGGGAAGGUUCUAGAGAGAACUAGAGAUAGAAAGAU